rnacentral:rRNA from 1 species
UACGUAGGGUGCGAGCGUUGCCCGGAUUUAUUGGGCGUAAAGGGCGCGUAGGCGGCCACGCACGUCCGUUGUGAAAUCGCCCGGCUCAACUGGGCGGGGUCAGCGGAUACGGUGUGGCUCGAGCAAGCUAGGGGGCAAUGGAAUUCCCGGUGUAGUGGUGGAAUGCGUAGAUAUCGGGAGGAGCACCAGUGGCGAAGGCGGUUGCCUGGAGCUUUGCUGACGCUGAGGCGCGAAAGCGUGGGGAGCGAUCCGG